AGUAACUCCACUUCAUGCACCAAAUCCCCCGCCCACGUCCAUUUAUACCCCAACCAUAGUUGAUUGAUCUAAUCUCCCUCAUGAACCCUAUGCGACAAAACAGCCAGUUCAACCAAAACCUGGUGGAUUGGAGGCAUAACCAGACUGGAGGGACCAAAAAAAGAACUUCAUUCUAAUAUUGAAAAGAAAAAAGUAACAGAAAAAAACCUGACUGGAAUUGA
rnacentral:misc_RNA from 1 species